UUCUUUUCUUCAAACUUGUAGAUCGUCUUUGUUGUUCGAUCCACCAUCAGACUACCUCUGAAAAUUCAAAUGACGACGAUACUCUUUGUAAUCACAGCAGCAGAUCGAUCCUGAUGAUAUUGUUGAUGAUGAUGAUCGAUCCUAAAAUAGUAUUUUCAGUUUUUAAUUUCAUUUUGAGAGACAAAUCGGUAGAAAUAGAAAAAUGUAGCAGAUUUGAUUUUGGGAUUUCAUCUUCUGAUGCAAAUCGAUAGAUAAACAAUAGUUUUGUGAGAUUAGGUUUAGGUUAUAGAUUCGAUUUAGUGACUUCAGACAAAUCUCUUCAAAAUCAGAUCGGUAUGAUGAAUGUUUUAGCUGAACAAGAUUUCCAAGUUCUGAGAUCCUGAUGAGAUAUCUAUGGGAGGAUCUGAUGGUAGUAAAAAGAGUUCCAGAAAAGCUCCUAUUAAGAUUUUGAAAUCAGUUUUAGAUGAAUCCAGUUUUGUUGGAUCGGUCGGUUGGUCUAUGUAGGUCUCUGGAUGCGGUUAAUGGAGCCGGGGAUGUUGAACUACCAUUGGUGCAGUAAAUUCAGUUUACUAAUUCUUGCAAAUAUUCGUUUUUUGGAGGCGGAGAUGUUGCACUUAACUCUACAUCUAUGGUUAAUUGAGCAAUGUCGGUAGACAAACAAGGAUGCAAUGGAAGGAAGAGAGCAUAGGCAGUCCUCGUCAGACGGGAAAAAGUUGGAUACAUGUUGAUAGGUUUCAAGAUUUUUAUUUUAGAUUGUCAAGCGAGUUUGAGUCUAUAUUUAUGAAAUUUCCAAUUGCGACUCUAAAAGUCUGCUAAUGUAUUAUGAGUUCUUUUUAGAAUCUAGAUGGGAAAACGUUGGAUGCAUGUACAAGUCUCAAGCUAUUAUCUGCAGUUUUUUUUAGUGCAUCUAUUAUUCAUAAUUUUAUUCAACCUUCCGAUAUUAUUUACUUAGCAUCCUUUCAUCUCAAA